GAUGAAGAACGUGGCGAAAUGCGAUAAGUAAUGUGAAUUGCAGAAUUCAGUGAAUCAUCGAAUCUUUGAACGCACAUUGCGCCCCCUGGUAUUCCGGGGGGCAUGCCUGUUCGAGCGUCAUUACAACCCUCAAGCUCUGCUUGGUAUUGGGCCCCGCCAGUUCUGGCGGGCCCUAAAGUCAGUGGCGGUGCCUUCCGGCUCCGAGCGUAGUAAUUCUUCUCGCUCUGGAGACCCGGUUGUGUGCUUGCCAACAACCCCCAAUUUUUUAAGGUUGACCUCGGAUCAGGUAGGGAUACCCGCUGAACUUAAGCAUAUCAAUAAGCGGAGGA
rnacentral:misc_RNA from 1 species